GGGGGAUAAGCUUCAUUGUCGAGAGGGAAAUAGCCCAGACUACUAGAUAAGGCCCCAAAGUAUUUACUAAGUGGUAAAGGAUGUGAAAGUGCAUAGACAAUCGGGAGGUUGACUUAGAAGCAGUAAUCUACCUUUAAAAAGUGCGUAAUAGCUUACUGAUCAAGUGCUUUUGCGCCGAAAAUGAACGGGACUAAGUAAAUCGCCGAAGCUGUAGAAUAUUAGUUAUUGGUAGAAGAGCGUUCUGCUUGGGGUGAAGUAAAAGUGAAAACAUUUGCGGACUUAGCAGAAGUGAGAAUGUCGGCUUAAGUAACGAAAACAUUGGUGGAAAUCCAAUGCCCCGGAAGCCUCAGGUUUCCUUUGCAAGGUUCGUCCACAAAGGGUUAGUCAGGUCCUAAGAUGAAGUUUAAUAACGUAGUUGAUGGAAAACAGGUUAAUAUUCCUGUACUAUAUAUUAUUUAGUUAAGAAUAACGGAAUAGGCUAUAUCAUCCAAAAUUGGAUUUUGGUUUAAUCUAUCAAGGCUAUGAGAAGUAUUAAUAAAAAAUAUUUUGAGUUUAGAUAGAGAAUACGAUAUAAUGCUAUGGUGUUAGAAGUGAUUGAUGUCAUGUUCCCUAGAAAAAUUCUAGUAGCAUAUAAUAAUAUGUAUCUGUACCUUAAACUGACACAGGUAGGCUGGUAAAGUAUACUAAGGGGAGCGAGAUAACUCUUUCUAAGGAACUCGGCAAAUUGGCUUUGUAACUUCGGGAUAAAAAGUGCCUUAUUAAUUUAAUAAGGCCGCAGUGAAAAGAUUCAUACGACUGCUUAACAAAAGCACAAAUCUCCGCUAAAUCGAAAGAUAAUGUAUGGGGGUUGACACCUGCCCAGUGCCGGAAGGUUAAGGAGGUUGGUUAGUUGAAAGACGAAGCUGACGACUGAAGCCCUGGUGAACGGCGGCCGUAACUAUAACGGUCUUAACGUAGCGAAAUUCCUUGUCAGGUAAGUUCUGACCCGCAUGAAAGGUGUAACGAUAUGAAUGCUGUCUCGGAAAGAGACUCGGUGAAAUAGAAUUGACUGUGAAGAUGCGGUCUACUUACACUUGGACAGAAAGACCCUAUGAAGCUUUACUGUAACUUGAAAUUGGUUUUGUACUUCUUUUGCGCAGUAUAGGUGGGAGACUAUGAACCUCUUUUUCGGAAGCUGGUGAGUCGAAAUUUGAGAUACCACUCUUAGGAAGUUUGAAAUCUAAUUAUAUAAUAAAAUAUUUGACAGUUUUAGGUGGGCAGUUUUACUGGGGCGGUAGCCUCCCAAAAGGUAACGGAGGCGUACAAAGGUUUCUUCAACCUGGAUGGAAAUUAGGUUUUGAGUGUAAAGGUAUAAGGAAGCUUGACUGUAAGACAAAUAAGUCAAACAGAGACUAAAGUCGGUCUUAGUGAUCCGACAGUUUCGAGUGGAAGAGCUGUCGCAAAACAGAUAAAAGUUACUCUAGGGAUAACAGGCUGAUCUCCCCCAAGAGUCCAUAUCGACGGGGAGGUUUGGCACCUCGAUGUCGGCUCAUCGCAUCCUGGGGCAGUAGUAUGUCCCAAGGGUUGGGCUGUUCGCCCAUUAAAGCGGUACGUGAGCUGGGUUCAGAACGUCGAGAGACAGUUCGGUCCAUAUCCGGUGUAAGCGUUAGAGUAUUGAAGAAACCUUUCCUUAGUACGAGAGGACCGGGGAAGACACACCUCUAGUGUACCAGUUUUUUGUGCCAACAGAAUACGCUGGGUAGUUAUGUGUGGAUAACUGCUGAAAGCAUAA
rnacentral:rRNA from 1 species